UGUUUUCCGYGUUGGACCGUGUACAAGUUCCCUGGAACGGGGCGUCAUAKAGGGUGAGAAUCCCGUAUAUGCCACGGACUACCAAUGCUCUGUGAUACACUCUCAACGAGUCGAGUUGUUUGGGAAUGCAGCUCAAAAUGGGUGGUAAAUUCCAUCUAAAGCUAAAUAUUGGCGAGAGACCGAUAGCGAACAAGUACCGUGAGGGAAAGAUGAAAAGCACUUUGGAAAGAGAGUGAAACAGUACGUGAAAUUGUUGAAAGGGAAGCGUUUGAAGUCAGUCACGUCUGUCGGAAUUCAGCCUGGCUUCUGCCUGGUGUACUUUCCGUCCGACGGGUCAGCAUCAAUUUCGACCGAGGGAAAAAGRCGUGAGGAAUGUGGCUGUCUYCGGGCAGUGUUAUAGCCUCGCGUUGUAUGUCUCGGUUGGGAUUGAGGAACGCAGCGCGCCUAUUGGCCGGGGGUUCGCGCCCCUCGGUACGCGCUUAGGAUGCUGGYAUAAUGGCUUUAAGCGACCCGUCUUGAAACACGGACC
rnacentral:rRNA from 1 species